GGGGAACACCCUGUCCAACGAGUCGGUAGGACCGAUAAACUGGUCGCGGUCCGUCAGGCGCAGCCCUGGUGGACCGCCCGUAUCAGCCAGCAGCCGCUGCAACCCCAGGGAG
rnacentral:sRNA from 20 species